CUACGCCUUAGUCAUGGCACAAUCUAUUACCAGAUAGUCCUCAAACUGAUUCGUUGGCUAUUAAAAGCGACAAGCAAUUGACCAAACAACUGCAUUUCUUAACAGUCUGUUGCCAUGAAUCGUUCGGCAGCGAAUUUUCUGGAGUAUGUUGAAAAUCUCAUUGCCUUGGAACGUACUGCAAGUGGACAACUCCCAAGGGGAUCGUGUGGUAUUAGUGCCAUACGCACCUGGUUAUUCGAUAUCAGCGGAUUGAAUCACUGUGGCAACUCAUCGAAACAUUUAUGCCAAUCAGAUGACCAAUGUGACAAGGGUCUAAAUUUUAGUUGGAGAUAUAUGCUGCUAAAAUUAGUCAAGCAUUUGCGGGGGCUCUUCCAAAAAUUGAAAAACAAAUGGAAGCGAAAAUUUUUAAUUUAACAGUUUGGAAUAACAAAAGUGAAAGAUGUAUAUAUAAAUAUUUUAUAUUUUCUUCAUUAAUAUUAUGAAUGCAUUAAUAUUUAA